rnacentral:rRNA from 1 species
GGGCGACAUUCCUGCCAAGGCUCAAUUGGUAGCGCUACCAUGCAAGUCGAGCGGGAACGAGUUAACUGAACCUUCGGGGAACGUUAACGGCGUCGAGCGGCGGACGGGUGAGUAAUGCCUGGGAAAUUGCCCUGAUGUGGGGGAUAACCAUUGGAAACGAUGGCUAAUACCGCAUAAUAGCUUCGGCUCAAAGAGGGGGACCUUCGGGCCUCUCGCGUCAGGAUAUGCCCAGGUGGGAUUAGCUAGUUGGUGAGGUAAUGGCUCACCAAGGCGACGAUCCCUAGCUGGUCUGAGAGGAUGAUCAGCCACACUGGAACUGAGACACGGUCCAGACUCCUACGGGAGGCAGCAGUGGGGAAUAUUGCACAAUGGGCGCAAGCCUGAUGCAGCCAUGCCGCGUGUAUGAAGAAGGCCUUCGGGUUGUAAAGUACUUUCAGCAGUGAGGAAGGUACAGACGUUAAUAGCUUAUGCAUUUGACGUUAGCUGCAGAAGAAGCACCGGCUAACUCCGUGCCAGCAGCCGCGGUAAUACGGAGGGUGCGAGCGUUAAUCGGAAUUACUGGGCGUAAAGCGCAUGCAGGUGGUUUGUUAAGUCAGAUGUGAAAGCCCGGGGCUCAACCUCGGAAUUGCAUUUGAAACUGGCAGACUAGAGUACUGUAGAGGGGGGUAGAAUUUCAGGUGUAGCGGUGAAAUGCGUAGAGAUCUGAAGGAAUACCGGUGGCGAAGGCGGCCCCCCUGGACAGAUACUGACACUCAGAUGCGAAAGCGUGGGGAGCAAACAGGAUUAGAUACCCUGGUAGUCCACGCCGUAAAACGAUGUCUACUUGGAGGUUGUGGCCCUUGAGCCGUGACUUCGGAAGCCUUAACGCGGUUAAGUAGACCCGCCCUGGGGGGGGA